UACGUAGGGGGCGAGCGUUGUCCGGAUUCAUUGGGCGUAAAGCGCUUUAAGGCGGUUCGGUAAGUCGGGUGUGAAACCUCCAGGCUCAACCUGGAGACGCCACUCGAUACUGCUGUGACUAGAGUUCGGUAGGGGAUCACGGAAUUCCUGGUGUAGCGGUGAAAUGCGCAGAUAUCAGGAGGAACACCGGUGGCGAAAGCGGCGCGCUGGACCACUACUGACGCUGAGGAACGAAAGCUAGGGGAGCAAACAGG
rnacentral:rRNA from 1 species